rnacentral:lncRNA from 1 species
ACCCCGUGCCCCACCUUCUCCCAUGGCAGCAGUCGCCGCCCCUCCCCCACCAUCUCAUGCCCCCUGGGCCGCUCACCAUCCCGUAUCCUCAGCGUGCCGGCCUCCACGAUCCCCAGCGCGCCAACCUCCAGUUCUUCACCUACCCCAUCGUGACGCCACCCAAUCUUCUUCCUCCUGGAUUCUCCUAGCCAUGGCGAGUGCCUCCUCCCUGCGCCAAGCUCGCUCUAGACUACGCAGAGCCACCAACUCCCACCGCCUCACGUGCAGUACAACCCCACCCAUGUACGAGGUUCAAAGACCUUGCAGAGAGAAGGAAAUGAUAUGUUAAGGUCAGCAGCUUCCUCGUCGCCAUCCCGGUAUGGUUCAUGUCCUGUGUUCAUCCUCCACUGAUUUUACUAACUAGCGGCAACAUAACCUCCGCCUGCACAUUUUUUUGGAAGUUCUAGAAUUCCUAGAGCUUUAGUCUAACUAUAUUGCUUCUGCGAUUAUUCCUACACAGAAAAACAUACUGAUGAUUGUUUUGUUCCCUGGACCUAAACACAUUUGUUCUUUAAGCUUAAAUGCAUUUAUUCUCUGAACUUAAAUAGGUUGGUUCUCUGAACAUAAGUGUGUGCGUUCUGUGUGUGUUGAAGCAUUAUAUAUUCAGUUGUACUGUUGGAUUAUGGUGACUAUUGAGCUUACUUUUCGGCGCAGGUCGUGGCUUUUCUGUGGCACGCCUCCCACUGCUUCUCCUUGCUGGACUAGUCAACCUACAAGAGAUCAACUCAAACAAAAAGUACUCAAGGUGGACUUAAGCUGAACUGGUGAUGGUCUUAGAAACUGCAUGUUUGAAAGUGGCCAAGGUUCUUGAAAGCUAAAAACUUUGAACCUUGUAAACGACAGCAAGCUUUUUGCCAUUUGUUUCACUUACUAGAGCGCUUUGCUAAUGGGUACGAUAAGUAUAACAUAAGUGAAUGAAAAGAGAGGUCUCGUCCAACUAAUUAGUUUUCUCUGUGUUUUUAGUUCCAUGUACUGUCUGAUCAAUUCUACUGUAGCUCUGAACAGCAGGAGAAAAAUAAAGAAAGUUCAAGUAAAAUCUCAAAUAAAAAUUAUGUUCAAGUUGAAGCCCAGGAGUAUAUACAUAUGGAGCGGACAUGGCAAUCGAUCUUGUUGAUGAUUAUCAAUAAAUAGAUGGUGAAGUUGGCAAACGGCUGAAUCAGAUGGUGCCUACCCCUGUAAGUUCACUUGUCAUUGAGCGGUUAGCUGAAGAUUAAUCAUUUUCGGAAAUUCAAAGGUUUACGGUGCUAAUACCCAUUUCUUUCAGAAAAAUUAUCAGUUACAAGUAUCUGCAUUUUGUCGAAAGUUCUUCGGUAUAGCCCCCUCUCCAUCAAAGUAGAAGAGUACGUGUUGAUUUUCUCUCCCUUGUUCUGAUUGAUAUCAUACAGAAGCUAUUGUAGAUGAAUGAAUAUGGUGCAGUUGUUCCAUUCAUUAUAUGGGCAGCAACCUUGUUUAAAUCCUCCUUUGGCUUGGUUAGAACACGAGUUUCAGUAAACAAAAGGAAAACAAAAUGCAGGUGAUCGUGGCAUGUGUUCGUUCAAUAAGGGCUUUGGUGACGGUCCGCUGCUGGUGGCCGCCUCACCGUGGUUAAGUUUGGCGUAGUCGCAUGUGUCGCUUUCUGUUGUGGCCGGUCUCCAGGUACAUAGUGUUGUUCCUAUUCAUGCCUGUGUAUGUAGUGCUGCUCCGUUAAAUCAUUUGUUCAUCUUGUUUGUUCCAACCAUGCUAGAUGUCUAGUACUAUUAGCUUGCACUAGCCUCUACAUGAGCAUCUCAAGCCAUUGUUAAUAGAUGUGAGUAGUACUGUGCUGCUCUGUUAAAUCAUUUGUUCAUCUUGUUUGUUCCAACCAUGCUAGAUGCCUAGUACUAUUAUCUUGCACUAGCCUCUACAUGAGCAUCUUAAGCCGUUGUUAAUAGAUGUGAGUAGUACUGAUUGUUUUGCUUGAAUUGGCGUCUCAGAUUAUACUGGAGCAUGUGUUUUCACAGAUAGUUCAUGUUCCAGAUUGCCAAAAGUUCAAACAUAGUGAGAUGGAU